AUGGUCGUGGUCGAUCGCCUGACCAAGUACGCACACUUCAUUCCGCUCCAUCAUCCCUUCACCGCCGUCCAGGUCGCUCGUGCGUUCUGGGAACAUGUCAUCAAGCUACACGACGUUCCUCACUCCAUCGUCGUGGACCGCAACAAGAUCUUCACCUGCGGCAUGUGGCGCGAAUUGCUUGCCGCUGCCGGAACCAAACUGCUCUAUUCCACGGCGUACCACCCGCAGACGGAUGGCCAUACGAAGCGCGUCAACCAAUGCCUCGAGAUGUACCUGAGGUGUGCGGUGCACGACAUGCCGCGACAAUGGCGCAAGUGGCUUCCCACGAAAGAGUUCCGGUACAACUCCGCCCACCACUCUUCGCUCAACUGCUCCCCGUUCAAGGAGCUGUACGGCAAGGAACCAAAUCUGGGUGGCCUACCACAGCUGAGCUCCACCCUGCAAGACAACGCGACACCACCAUAGUUCGACUGGACCACGCAAUGAGAGAUGCUGCGCGCCCAGCUCACGCGUGCCCAAGCCUGCUUCAAGAAACAAGCCGACCGCCACCGCAUUGAACACGACUUUGACGUCAGUGAACAAGUUCUCCUCAAGCUGCAGCCGUACGCGCAAUCGUCCGUCGCCAAUCUCGCGUGCCGCAAGCUCUCCUACAAGUUCUUUGGCCCUUUCGAAGUGACGGAGCGGAUCAGAUCACUGGCUUAUCGCCUGCAGUUGCCUCCAGACUGCCGCAUCCACCCGGUAUUCCAUGUCUCCCAACUCAAGCCUUUCACCCCGGAUUACACUCCAGUCUUAGCGGAGCUACCUCGAGGGCCUGACCUCACCUGUGGAGAAACUAAACCCGUGCCCAUCAUGGAACAGAGGAUGUUGAAGAAAGGAGAUGCACCUGUCGUGCAGCUGCGUGUUCAGUCGUCCAACAUGCCGUCAUCAGCCACCACUUGGGAAGACUACGACGUCCUUCGCCCGCGCUACCCAUCGGCCUAUAUCUGGGAAGGAGCUCCAUCUCAAGGGGAGGGCAAUGUCGCGCUUGCUGAUGCUGAUAUAGAGCGUGUUUGGUUCGCUUCCUCAGUCCAUGAUACCUCGCCUGAAGCUUGCCUGAGAUAUAGCUGUGUUUGUUUGGUUGAAGCCCUGAAAAAAGUAGUCCAAGCCUGGCCUGGAUCGCCCAGGCAGGUGAUUAGCCUGCCAGGCAUCCGUUUCUGGUAG
rnacentral:rRNA from 1 species